AAAUUCAUUCCUAAACUUUGUCUGCUUUUUACCCCUAGAUCUUGUGGGAUAUCGUUUUCUUCAGUUGAACUUGAAUGGUUUCCAUUUUGUAUGUCAUCAAGGGUUUGAUGAAGUCAAUCCUUCUUUCAGUUUUGCCCCAUCCUAAUGUCUGCUAUUGGGCAUUCUUAUGUGAUAGUUUGAUGGAGUGUUACCCAGGCUGGAGUGCCAUGGUGUGAUCUUGGCUCCCUGCAACCUCUGCCUCCUGAGUUCAAGUGAUUCUAGCGCCUCAGCCUCCCAAGUAGCUAGGAUUACAGGCACCCGCCACCAGACCCAGCUAAUUUUUGUAGUUUUUAGUAGAGCCAAUGGGGUUUCACCACGUUGGCCAGGCUGGUCUCAAACUCCUGACCUCAAAUGAUCUGCCCCCUUAGGCCUACCAAAGUGCUAGAAUUACAGCCAUGAAGCUCUGCACCCAGCCAAUACUAGCAUUUUGAUAAGAAAACUUAUAAUUUAUUUAGGAAUUCAAAGCAUAUAUAAGAACAGAAUAAUCUUGAAGGUCGAAAGAACAACUUUGAAGAACUUUAUCUUAUUUUCAAUUCAAUAUAAUGCCAUAGUAACGAAGACACAGUUACUAUUGGUAGUAUUGGUGCAAUAUUACAUAAAUGGAUCACUGGAAUUGAAUAAAGAGUCCAGAAAUAAAGCUUCAUAUUUAUAUCUAAUUGGUUUUCGACAAAGUUGUCAACUCAAUAAAGAAAGAAAAUUAUUUUUACCAUAUUUUACGGAAGGACUGUAUUUUCAUUUGUAAAAAUAAAAAUUGUAAUCC
rnacentral:lncRNA from 1 species